rnacentral:rRNA from 1 species
AUUGAACGCUGGCGGCAGGCCUAACACAUGCAAGUCGAGCGGAUGACGGGAGCUUGCUCCUUGAUUCAGCGGCGGACGGGUGAGUAAUGCCUAGGAAUCUGCCUGGUAGUGGGGGACAACGUUUCGAAAGGAACGCUAAUACCGCAUACGUCCUACGGGAGAAAGCAGGGGACCUUCGGGCCUUGCGCUAUCAGAUGAGCCUAGGUCGGAUUAGGUAGUUGGUGGGGUAAUGGCUCACCAAGGCGACGAGCCGUAACUGGUCUGGGAGGAUGGUCAGUCACACUGGAACUGAGACACGGUCCAGACUCCUACGGGAGGCAGCAGUGGGGAAUAUUGGACAAUGGGCGAAAGCCUGAUCCAGCCAUGCCGCGUGUGUGAAGAAGGUCUUCGGAUUGUAAAGCACUUUAAGUUGGGAGGAAGGGCAGUAAGUUAAUACCUUGCUGUUUUGACGUUACUGACAGAAUAAGCACCGGCUAACUCUGUGCCAGCAGCCGCCGUAAAAC